UCACAUUCCAUCAAUUAAAAGGGAAAAAAAAAAAGAAAAAUAAUCACGUAAAAAUUUUAUAUAUAAAUAAAACAGCAUGAACAAGAAAAUGAGAAGAAAACAAUAGAAAAGAAAUGCCUGGCUUUCCCAUGUACGCCGCUGAAUUUUUUUUUUCUAGCAAGCAAACCUUAUAUGUCGACGACGUCGUCGGAAGUGCCCCACACGCCGUGGCGGAGAACUUUCAAGGCUGCCGGGAUAUACUUGAUAUAUGCUUCAAUCUCUUGCGAGCAACCGAUAACAUCAUACAAUAACUUCUUCCUCUUCUUCAUUGCUAUCUGGGGCUUCUUCAGCUGAUAUGCUUUAUUCCUUUACAAACCCUAUUAAUGUUCAAAAGGAGAGAAACAAAAAAGGUGAAAAAGAAAGAGAGUUUGCUAAGAACAUGGAAGAGGGUUGUUCCGAAGAAGAUGACGAGCAAUUCCCUUUAAUGUUGUUUUCAAAGGUGAAAUCGAAGGGUUUUUGUUUUUGUUUUUCUUUUGGGGUUCGAAGGCCAUUUUGUUUCACACGUUGGGGUGGUUACAUUUUG
rnacentral:lncRNA from 1 species